UUUUAUUUGAGAGUUUGAUCCUGGCUCAGGAUGAACGCUGGCGGCGUGCCUAACACAUGCAAGUUGAGCGAUUUACUUCGGUAAAGAGCGGCGGACGGGUGAGUAACGCGUGGGUAACCUACCCUGUACACACGGAUAACAUACCGAAAGGUAUGCUAAUACGGGAUAAUAUAUUUGAGAGGCAUCUCUUGAAUAUCAAAGGUGAGCCAGUACAGGAUGGACCCGCGUCUGAUUAGCUAGUUGGUAAGGUAACGGCUUACCAAGGCGACGAUCAGUAGCCGACCUGAGAGGGUGAUCGG
rnacentral:rRNA from 1 species